AAGUCGUAACAAGGUUUCCGUAGGUGAACCUGCGGAAGGAUCAUUCACAAUGAGUGUUUAAUGGCACUUCAAAUCCAUUACCCACCUUGUGUGCAUUGUCGGGAGGACUUGUCUCUCUCUCUUCUCUCUCUUUGAGGGAAAGAGAAAAGGAUGGUUCUCUUUUCAUACCUCACUCUGUUCUUCAGUAUCAGUCUACUUUUAUUGAGUAUAAAACUCGAAUACAACUUUCAACAACGGAUCUCUUGGCUCUC
rnacentral:misc_RNA from 1 species